UACAGAGGGUGCAAGCGUUGUUCGGAAUUAUUGGGCGUAAAGCGCGUGUAGGCGGCUUUGCAAGUCGGGUGUGAAAGCCCUCAGCUCAACUGAGGAAGUGCGCCCGAAACUGCAGAGCUUGAGUACCGGAGAGGAUGGCGGAAUUCCCCAAGUAGAGGUGAAAUGCGCAGAUAUCGGGAGGAACACCAGUGGCGAAGGCGGCACUCUGGGCCGGAACUGACGCUGAGGAGCGAAAGCGUGGGGAGCGAACAGG
rnacentral:rRNA from 1 species